CAGGAACUAUCUGAAAGGCUAAAACAUGUUGCAUAAACAGGUGGUGAGUCCCUCACUUCUGAACCACUUCUGUAACACAGCACUCUGGAUUAAAGAAGGAAACACUGCACUCCAGCCUGGGCAACAACAGCAAAACUCCAUUUCAAAAAAACAAAGUGGCCACUGGACCAGGCACAGUGGCUCGCGCCUGUAAUCCCAGCACUUUGGGAGGUUAAGGCAGGUGGAUCACCUGAAGUCAGGAGUUCGAGACCAGCCUGGCCAAAAUGGUGAAACCCCAUCUCUACUAAAAAAAAUAAAAAUUGGCUGGGCGUGGUGACGGGCACCUCUAAUCCCAGCUACUUGGGAGGCUGAGGUAGGAGAAUCACUUGAACCCAGGAGGCGGAGGUUGCAGUGAGCCAAGAUUGCACCAUUGCACUCCAGCCUGGGCAACAAGAGUGAAACUCCAUCUCAAAAAAAAAAAAAAAAGCGGACACUGGAGUUUUUUUCUAGAAUUGCUAAAUCAACUAGCUUCACUGAUUUCUGCAGCCAAUAAACCAUCAAGUUAGACAGGAAAAAGUAGAAUCUGGAUGUUUGGUGUGUUUUUCAUUCAGUACCCACAGAGAAGGCCCUCAUAAAAAGAAAAGUACAGUAAUUCCAGUAGGCUAAUUUUCUGAUCUUAAUAUUUCCACCCAUAUGGAGGGUGUCCCAAAAGUCUUGGAACGGUUUUGAGCCUUAAUAAGUUCAGGAAUAUAAAUCCAGCAAGCUCGUUUAAAAAAAAAAGUCAUCUGGAGGUUUAAUUGGUUAAAUUUCAUAACACUUCAGUUUUGUGACUUUUGAUAACAUAUUUUUCGGUUUCCCUGUUGUUUAAGUACCUAUGUUUGAAAAUGGCAACAGUCACUGCUUUUAAGUUAGUUAUUACAGCUCAAAACUGCACCAAAACUUUUGGAAUUCAUGUAUGAUUCCUAAGUCAGAAACCUGAUCCUAGCUCAUUUCACUGGAUGACCAACAUUUUAACACUAGAAUGAACUAAAUUAUUUUCUUUAGAAGUUUCAGUUAUUUUUGGCCAGGCAUGGUGGCUCACGCCUGUAAUCCCAGCACUUUGGGAGGCCAAGGGGGGCGGAUCAUGAGGUCAAGAGAUCGAGACCAUCCUGGCCAACAUGGUGAAACCCCAUCUCUAUUAAAAAUAUAAAAAUUAGGCCGGGCAUGGUGGCUCAAGCCCGUAAUCCCAGCACUUUGGGAGGCCAAGGCAGGUGGAUCAUGAGGUCAGGGGUUUGAGACCAUCCUGGCCAACAUGGUGAAACCCCGUCUCUACAAAAAAUACAAAAAUAGGCCAGGCGCGGUGGCUCACACCUGUAAUCCCAG
rnacentral:lncRNA from 1 species